rnacentral:rRNA from 1 species
CCUACGUGCGGCAGCAGUGAGGAAUAUUGGUCAAUGGACGAGAGUCUGAACCAGCCAAGUAGCGUGAAGGAUGACUGCCCUAUUGGUUGUAAACUUCUUUUAUAUGGGAAUAAAAUGUUCCACGUGUGGGAUUUUGUAUGUACCAUAUGAAUAAGGAUCGGCUAACUCCGUGCCAGCAGCAGCGGUAAUACGGAGGAUCCGAGCGUUAUCCGUAUUUAUUGGGUUUAAAGGGAGCGUAGGUGGAUUGUGAAGUCAGUUGUGAAAGUUUGCGGCUCAAACGUAAAAUUGAAGUUGAAACUGGCAGUCAUGAGUACAGUAGAGGUGGGCAGAAUUCGUGGUGUAGCGGUGAAAUGCUUAGCUAGCACGAGGAACUCCGAUAGCGAAGGCAGCUCACUGGACUGCAACUGACACUGAGGCUCGAAAGUGUGGGUAUCAAACAGGAUUAGAUACCCGUGUAGUC